CUACGGGGCGCUGCAGUAGGGAAUAUUGGACAAUGGGCGAAAGCCUGAUCCAGCAACACCGCGUGCGCGAUGACGGCCUUCGGGUUGUAAAGCGCUUUUAGAGGAGAUGAGAAAGGACAGUAUCCUCUGAAUAAGCCUCGGCGAACUACGUGCCAGCAGCCGCGGUAAAACGUAGGAGGCAAGCGUUAUCCGGAUUUAUUGGGCGUAAAGCGCGUGCAGGCGGUUUAACAAGUUGGAUGUGAAAGCUCCUGGCUCAACUGGGAGAUGUCGUUCAAAACUGUUAGACUAGAGAAUAGGAGAGGGAGGUGGAAUUCCGGGUGUAGUGGUGAAAUGCGUAGAUAUCCGGAGGAACACCAGUGGCGAAAGCGGCCUCCUGGACUAUUUCUGACGCUAAGACGCGAAAGCUAGGGUAGCAAACGGGAUUAGAUACCCUCGUAGUC
rnacentral:rRNA from 1 species